rnacentral:rRNA from 1 species
UGACCUCAAAUCGGUAGGACUACCCGCUGAACUUAAGCAUAUCAAUAAGCGGAGGAAAAGAAACCAACGCGGAUUCCCCUAGUAACGGCGAGUGAAGCGGGAAAAGCUCAACAUUGAAAUCUGGCCUUGUGCCCGAGUUGUAAUCUAAAGAGGCGGUUUCCAUGCCGGCCGUGUCCAAGUCCCUUGGAAAAGGGCGCCAGAGAGGGUGAAAACCCCGUGCUCGACACGACCACCGGGAUGACUAGAUCCGAUCCUCUCCGAGUCGAGUUGUUUGGGAAUGCAGCUCUAAACGGGUGGUAAACUCCAUCUAAGGCUAAAUACUGGCGAGAGACCGAUAGCAUACAAGUACCGUGAGGGAAAGAUGAAAAGCACUUUGGAAAGAGAGUUAAACAGUAUGUGAAAUUGUUGAAAGGGAAACGAUUGAAGCCGAGUCAUCUGCUCUCUGAGUAGAGGUCAACAUCGGUUGGGGGCGGCGGACAAGGGUCGGGGGAAGGUAGCACCUCGGUGUGUUUAUAGACCCCGGCCGUAUACGUCGCGCCCGACCGAGGACUGCAGCUCGCCCCUCACGGGGCCGGGGUACGCCCACGUCCGAGCUUGGGAUGUUGGCAUCACCGGCUUCAAACGACCCGUCUUGAAACACGGACCAAGGAGUCUAACAUAUCUGCGAGUGUUAGGGUGUCAAACCCGUGCGCGUAAUGAAAGUAAACGAAGGGACCCCCCGGGGGCACCUUUGACCGAUCCCGAGCAUGCGACGGAUUUGAGUAGGAGCAUAUAUGCUGGGACCCGAAAGAUGGUGAACUAUGCUUGAAUAGGGUGAAGCCAGGGGAAACUCUGGUGGAAGCUCGUAGCGAUUCUGACGUGCAAAUCGAUCGUCAAAUUUGGGUAUAGGGGCGAAAGACUAAUCGAACCAUCUAAUGG